CACAAGCAGCGGAGCAUGUGGUUAAUUCGAAGCAACGCGAAGAACCUUACCAGGUCUUGACAUCCUCUGACAAUCUGAGAGAUCAGACUUUCCCUUCGGGGACAGAGAGACAGGUGGUGCAUGGUUGUCGUCAGCUCGUGUCGUGAGAUGUUGGGUUAAGUCCCGCAACGAGCGCAACCCCUGUGGUUAGUUGCCAUCAUUUAGUUGGGCACUCUAAUGAGACUGCCGGUGACAAACCGGAGGAAAGGUGGGGAUGACGUCAAGUCCUCAUGGCCCUUAUAGGUGGGGCUACACACGUCAUACAAUGGAUGGUACAAAGGGUCGCCAACCUGCGAGGGGGAGCCAAUCCCAUAAAGCCAGUCGUAGUCCGGAUCGCAGUCUGCAACUCGACUGCGUGAAGUCGGAAUCGCUAGUAAUCGUGGAUCAGCAUGUCACGGUGAAUACGUUCCCGGGUCUU
rnacentral:rRNA from 1 species